rnacentral:rRNA from 1 species
CCUGCCUUGGAGUGGGGAAUAACAGCUGGAAACAGCUGCUAAUACCGCAUAAUAUAUCUGGGUCGCAUGGCUCUGGAUAUCAAAGAUUUAUCGCUCUGAGAUGGACUCGCGUCUGAUUAGCUAGUUGGUGGGGCAACGGCCCACCAAGGCGACGAUCAGUAGCCGGACUGAGAGGUUGGCCGGCCACAUUGGGACUGAGACACGGCCCAGACUCCUACGGAAGGCAGCAG